UUUAGAACUCAAGAUAUGGGCUAAACACUGAACAGUGUCUGGGCUGCAGGACAAAUUCUGACUUCUCCAUUGUUGCUAAGAUUUGGACUUCCAAACAACAAAAUUGAGUCUUGGACUCCUCUUUUAGGCCUAUGUCUUAGCUUUCAAGC
rfam:Populus trichocarpa scaffold_17_contig_320, whole genome shotgun sequence.